ensembl:lncRNA
AUUUGGAAUUAUCAAACCAUGAAUUUAAAACAACUAUGAUUAAGAUGCUAAGAGCUUUAACGGAUAAUGUAAACAGCAUGUAAGACCAAAUGGGCAAUGUAAAUAGAAAUUCUAAGAAAGAACUGAAAUGAAACGCUGGAGAUCAAAAACACAUGAGAGAAAUGAAGAAUGCCUUUGAUGGGCUUGUUAGUAGAUUGGAUAUGGCUGAGAAAAGAAUCUCUGUGCUUAAAGAUCUCAAUAGAAAGCAGCCAAACUUAAAAGCAAAGAGAACAAAAGAUUAAAAAAAAAAACAGAACAGGAUAUCCAAGAAUUGUGGGGCUACUACCAAAGGUAUGACAUGCAAGUAAUGGGAAUUAUGAAAGGAGAAGAAAGAGGGAAGAAACAUGUAAAUCAACAAUGACUGAGAACUUCCCCCAGAUGAACGUCAGACACCAAGUUACAGAUCCAGGAAGCUCAGAGAACAAUAAACAUGGUAGAAUGCCCCUACACCUACCUACAUCUAGAUGUAUCAUUUUCAGACAAACUACAGAAAAAUCAAAGAGAAAGAAAAAAUCGUGAAAGAAGUCAAAGGAAAAAAAAAACACACAAUACCUCUCGAGGAGCAAAGAUAAGAAUGACAUCCAACUUUUCAAAAACUAUGCAAGCAAGAGAGAGACGUGAAAGAUACGAAGUGUUGAGAGGAAAGCCCCACCAGUCUACAGUUCUGUAUCCUGUGAAAUUAUCUUUCAGAAGUGAAGAGGAGAUAAAGACUUUCUCAGUCAAACAAAAAUUGAGGGAAUUUGUUGCCGGUAGACCUGCCUUGCAAGAAAUGUUAGAAGUUCUUCAGAGAGAAGGACAAUGAUAUAGGUCAGCCACUCACAUCUACAUGAAGAAAGAAGAGCAUCAGAGAAGGAAGAGGCCAAGUAUCAUCUAAGGAAUCCAGAUGUUCCUGUAACGACAGCUCUACAAACAGAAGACCCAGCUGUAGGACUGACUUCCCAGUGUUCAUGUGCCUCCCCAAGUCUCCUCCCAGGCUGGGGUCCUGACUGCUGCUCAGCGUGGCCAUAACCCCGUGCUGGCUUGCACACCACAAGGGCGGUUGCUGGGAGGAACCUGCUGAAUAUUUUCAAGCUGGUUUUAGAAAAGGCAGAGGAACCAGAGAUCAAGUUGCCAACAUCCGCUGGAUCAUUGAAAAAGCAAAGAGUUCCAGAAAAACAUCUAUUUCUGCUUUAUUGACUAUGCCAAAGCCUUUGACUAUGUGGAUCACAAUAAACUCUGGAAAAUUCUGAGAGAAAUGGGAAUCCCAGACCACCUGACCUGCCUCUUGAGAAACCUAUAUGCAGGUUAGGAAGCAACAGUUAGAACUGGACAUGGAACAGCAGACUGGUUCCAAAUAGGAAAAGGAGUACAUCAAGGCUGUAUAUUGUCACCCUGCUUAUUUAACUUAUACCCAGAGUACAUCAUGAGGAAUGCUGGGCUGCAAGAAGCACAAGCUGGAAUCAACAUUGCUGGGAGAAAUAUCAAUAACAGAUAUUGGUAUGCAGAUGUGCAGAUAUGCAGAUGACACCA